CACACAUUCCCAGAGUGCCAAAUCAGAAGAACUCAUAGGAUAUGCAACUUUCACUGGAGGCUCUGUCCUCGUGGCACAGGGUAUUCAGAGCCUGUGGUUGUUGAGAACAAAGCUGAAGUCUCAAAAGCAGAACAGUUUUGCCUGGAAAAAAUUAACAAGGAUCACUAGAACACAGACUCUCCUCAGAAACAGAAGCAACAAUUUGCUGCAUGCUUCCAAGCAGGGUUCAGAAGG